rnacentral:misc_RNA from 1 species
GGCAACCAAGUGUUUCUGCUGUAUGGGUAAAAUAGUUUAGAAACUUUGAUAUUUAAGUGGUUAGCAAUUUAUGGUUAUGGUUACGGUUACGGUCAUGGUCAUGGUCAUUUUCGGGCUCGCAAACUAUGAGUCCAUUAGAGUAAUAUAUAAAGUAAUAAUGAGAAUUUCCCUCUCAUUGAGUCUAAUCAUAUCAAUGAGCAGGGGAAGUUGUCUGUAUAUAUUAGACAUGUUAGUUUUUAAUGUACUACUAUCAUGUGUGUAUGAACUCUGUUGAGCAAUUGUACUGAGGAACUACUUCAGCUUGUGGUUUCAUGUCAUUGGUGUGUGAUAUUGUUAAAUUUAAAGGCAAAUAUUCU